ensembl:lncRNA
GGUGCAACAACAAUGCGCCGAGCCUGAUGAAAGCUGCCAUCAAUGAGCCUGAACCUGUGCCUGUGUUCGUGAGUGGAGUGCUCCCUGUUUGUUUGAGACAGUGUGUGUGUGUGUGUGUGUGUGUGUGUGUGUGUGUGUGUGUGUUCGUGAGUGGAGUGCUCCCUGUUUGUUUGAGACAGUGUGUGUGUGUGUGUGUGAGUGGAUGGAGUGCUUCCUGUUUGUUUGAGACAGUGUGUGUGUGUGUGUGAGAGUGGAGUGCUUCCUGUUUGUUUG